GAGCAAUGUGUGUGUGUGUGUGUGUGUGUGUGUGUUGUGUUUGUGCGACGACUGCUGGCUGUGACGGCACGCAACGACUUGCAACAAAUUGUAGGUGUAUUUGUGUGUGAUGUUGCAACGGCGCAGUCGUUUAAUUGAACAACAUGCCAAUGUAUAUCUUUUUCACUAGCUGCAGAAGCUACUGCUAACAAAACAACCAAAUAUUCACUCAAUAUAUGCAAAAAAAAAAGGUAUAAACAAAAAUUUAACGAACUUUCAACAAAAACACAGGUCAACGAGCGACGACGCGAAGCACUGACUCUUGUAGAAAACCCA